AUAUAUAUGACUGGUUCAAGACUACACAUCAAUAAGUUGAGAGAUAGAUAUAUAUAUAUAUAUCCAAAAAGGUUAUGGUGGGGAAAAAUUGUGAUUGAAAACCCCUUCCACCUGAAGUCUGUGGAUAUAAUACAUGUUAAACAAAAAUCUGCACACCAGUCAAGCUACAAGACUCGCUUUUCCCACAGAAAUCACAAAUUUGCAGUGAUGUUACUACCGCAAGGGAUUCUGGGUGGGCAAAAACAGACUCCAAGGAAUCCAUGUUUAAAACGGAAU